rnacentral:rRNA from 1 species
AACGAACGCUGGCGGCAUGCCUAACACAUGCAAGUCGAACGAGACCUUCGGGUCUAGUGGCGCACGGGUGCGUAACGCGUGGGAACCUGCCCUUAGGUUCGGAAUAACUCCCCGAAAGGGGUGCUAAUACCGGAUAAUGUCUUCGGACCAAAGAUUUAUCGCCUUUGGAUGGGCCCGCGUUGGAUUAGCUAGUUGGUAGGGUAAAAGCCUACCAAGGCGACGAUCCAUAGCUGGUCUGAGAGGAUGAUCAGCCACACUGGGACUGAGACACGGCCCAGACUCCUACGGGAGGCAGCAGUGGGGAAUAUUGGACAAUGGGCGCAAGCCUGAUCCAGCCAUGCCGCGUGAGUGAUGAAGGCCUUAGGGUUGUAAAGCUCUUUUACCCGGGAUGAUAAUGACAGUACCGGGAGAAUAAGCCCCGGCUAACUCCGUG